GAUGAACGCUGGCGGCGUGCCUAACACAUGCAAGUCGAACGGAGUCCAGCCUUUAAGCCCUUCGGUCAAAGAGGGGAAGACUGAGUGGCGGACGGGUGAGUAACACGUGGGCAACCUGGCCCAUAGAGGGGGAUAACAGAGAGAAAUUUCUGCUAAUACCGCAUAAGCACACACUGCCGCAUGGCAGAGGGUGAAAAGAGAAUCGCUAUGAGAUGGACCCGCGUCUGAUUAGCCAGUUGGCAGGGUAAGAGCCUACCAAAGCGACGAUCAGUAGCCGAUCUGAGAGGAUGAACGGCCACAUUGGGACUGAGACACGGCCCAAACUCCUACGGGAGGCAGCAGUGGGGGAUAUUGCACAAUGGGGGGAACCCUGAUGCAGCGACGCCGCGUGAGUGAAGAAGUAUUUCGGUAUGUAAAGCUCUAUCAGCAGGGAAGAUAAUGACAGUACCUGAAUAAGAAGCCCCGGCUAACUACGUG
rnacentral:rRNA from 1 species